rnacentral:ncRNA from 1 species
CAGCCGGUGGAAGUCCGGUCCGGGGAGACGCCAGGGUCCCGGUAGCUGACUCCCGGCGUCGCCCGAAAUGGUGACGUCGAAGUGGAGUGACAAGCGCCCCUCGGGGGCGUGCAACCGACCAGUCCGCAACAUGA